rnacentral:rRNA from 1 species
AUGAACGCUAGCGACAGGCUUAACACAUGCAAGUCGAGGGGCAGCACGCUUUCGGGUGGUGGCGACCGGCGCACGGGUGAGUAACACGUAUGCAACCUACCCAUAACUUGGGGAUAGCCCGCGGAAACGCGGAUUAAUACCUAAUGACACAGGGGCACCGCAUGGUGCUAUUUGUUAAAGAUUUAUCGGUUAUGGAUGGGCAUGCGCGGGAUUAGUUAGUUGGUAGGGUAACGGCUUACCAAGGCAUCGAUCCUUAGGGGAACUGAGAGGUUUAUCCCCCACAUUGGUACUGAGACACGGACCAGACUCCUACGGGAGGCAGCAGUGAGGAAUAUUGGUCAAUGGGCGAGAGCCUGAACCAGCCAAGUCGCGUGAAGGAAGACGGUAUUAUGUAUUGUAAACCUCUUUUAUAGGGGAAUAAAGUGCGGGAUGUAUCCUGUUUUGUAUGUACCCUAUGAAUAAGCAUCGGCUAACUCCGUGCCAGCAGCCGCGGUAAUACGGAGGAUGCGAGCGUUAUCCGGAUUUAUUGGGUUUAAAGGGUGCGUAGGUGGGCUUGUAAGUCAGUGGUGAAAUCCCGAUGCUUAACAUCGGCACUGCCAUUGAAACUGCGGGUCUUGAGUGUGAGCGGGGUAGGCGGAAUUCGUAGUGUAGCGGUGAAAUGCAUAGAUUUACGAAGAACACCGAUAGCGUAGGCAGCUUACCAGGACACAACUGACACUGAG